rnacentral:rRNA from 1 species
GACAGAGGAUGCAAGCGUUAUCCGGAAUGAUUGGGCGUAAAGCGUCUGUAGGUGGCUUUUUAAGUCCGCCGUCAAAUCCCAGGGCUCAACCCUGGACAGGCGGUGGAAACUACCAAGCUGGAGUACGGUAGGGGCAGAGGGAAUUUCCGGUGUAGCGGUAGAAUGCGUAGAUAUCGGGAAGGAACACCAAGUGGCGAAAGGCGAUCACCUGGGUUGUUCGUGACGCUGAGGAGCGAAAGCUAAGGGGAGCAAACGGGG